rnacentral:lncRNA from 1 species
CUCAGGACCUCAGCGGCCUCUGCUGUGGAGACGGUGCCCCCCUGGCGGACUGGGUCCCCUUCAGGUGGUGGCUUUGGCUGUCACAGGCAGUGCUGCCAGAGUGCAGGGACGCCUGGCCAUGGGAGGCUCCCCUGGGGGGUGACUGGAGUUCCCUGGUCUCCAGGGAUGGCUGCCAGGCGCGACAGAGCCUCUGCGUUUUGUCAUUGCAGGCACCACCCGCACCAGGACCCCGUGCGUCUGAGCUGCCCGUGCUCUACAGGACUGAGGACUUUGUUCCCGUGGACGCCCGGGAGGGGGAGCGCCAAUCCCGCUGAGCCUGUCACAAUCCCCUCGAGGGGGUGAGGCUGGGUCCCAGCAUUUGGAUUUCCUCUGCUUUUGUUGUUAUUGAUUUUUUGCAUUUCUCCCUGAGGGGCCUGGGGCAGCCAUGUCUCGGAUCCGGUGGCAAGGGUGCCGCCUGCUGCCUGCUAUUUUAAGGGAUGAGGUGCUGAGUGGGGCAGGCUGUGCCGGGAAUCGUGGGCUGCAGUGCGGGCAUGUGGCCUGCAGACCCCAUGUCCCCAGCCCUGCCCGACAUCCCAGAAAGGUGUGGGCGCUCACUUGUGGUCAGCUGGGAGGACAGUGGGGAUGUCAGUUUCUUUUUCGCCCCUCUGAAUUUUCUUGGAAGCUGCCUCUUUGCAGUCGGCUUGCUCUAAGCCCCUGGCUGAGGGGAGGCUGCAGAACCAGAGGCCAGGGGACAGCCAGGCCCCUGAAGGUGCGUUUCUUUUCCUUUCUUCAAAAGACAGCUUCCUGGUGUUGUCUGAGUUCUCCAGGUUCUGAAAUCCUCAGGGCCCAGCAGACACGGCACCCCUCACACUGCAGUUCAGGGUCAGAAUGUCAAGGAAGCGUGAAUCUGACAAGAUGGCCCUGGACAGUUGGGUGGUGCUAAUGUUUGGGAAAUCUCUGGAAUUAAAAGAUAGAGGUGGGUCCUGUGUUUCAGGAAGAGUCAACAUUUUUCUCUUGGGGCCACCUUUAUGGAAGUAUAACACACAUUAUAGAAAGGGGCCCCUGUGCCAGGCACUGUGGUGCAGGGCUGUACUCUCAGCGACUUGCGAGGCUGAGGCAGGAGGAUCACAAGUUCAAGGCCAGCCUCAGCAAAUUAUCAAGACCCAGUCUCUAAACAAAAAAUAAAAAGGGCUGGGGAUGUGGCUCUGGGUUACACACACACACACACACACACACACGAGAAAAAAGAACAAGGCACCUUAGUGUGGAGCACUAGCUGCCCACACGUGGAACACAUUUGCGCAGCCCGACCAACGCUGCCAGCACCCAGAGCCCCCUGAGGCCCCUUCCUGACAGUGCUCCCUGCAGGCUGGGUGUCCUCCUGUGCUGGCCUGGAGGCUGCAGGGCACAUGCACCCAGCAUGUUGGCUUUGUCACUGGACCUGGAUCUGCAGGAGUGUCCCUACUGCCCCCGGGUAGCUGCAGUGGCCAUGUUGUAUGGAUUGAGGCUGCUUUUAAUGAAGAAAGCCUCGCACUCUCCGCACCCCCGUCUGCCCAGGGACAGUGGAUUGGAUGGGAAGCUAAUGUUUCAGACAAGCAGUUAGACACCACUCUCGAAGGCUAAGUAUAGACACCAGCCUUCUUUCCCCUUCCAGGGCCUGACCCAGGGACCAGGGAGGGCUGGAAAGGAUGCCAUGUGACCGAGCCAUAGCAGUAGAAGGUCCUAAAACAGAGAAUGGCAGGGCCUGGCAGGAGGGGAUCCUGCGGGCGGCGCCUUGCUCUGUGCGCAGCUCAGCUGUUGGGCCGAGCCUCGCUGCUUCCUGGCCACAGCCUCCUCUUCAGGAAGACCUAUGAUAAUGGCUCCUGCCCGCUGGCUGUGGUGUGUGCUUACCCAGCGCCAGCAAGGAUGGCUAUGUUGUGGUCAGUGGGCUCAACAGGGAGGACUGUGUGCUGUUUCUCAGGUGAGCAGUGGCACCCAAGGGUCUCAACAGCGAGUGGCUUAGGGACUGCCCUUAAAGGUCACAGAACAAGUCGUGGAAGGGUGAGGUGCUAAGAUGCACCAGUUCUCCCGGUGCAUCAUAAUGCACAUAUCAGGUUGCAUUAGAAUCUUUAAUGACACUGCUGGAAAACUCGUAGACAAAAUGCUUUCUUAGGCCUCAAUGCUAUCAAAAUAAGAUGUGUGCUCAGACCCAGUCCUGCAGCUCUCAGAACCCAGAUUCUACACGAGAAAGACAUGAUAAAGCACGACGAUGGCCUCUUCAUUGAAAUAGCACACAACUGGGCAGAACUCGAGCAUUCCUCAGGCGUUGGCUUUGCAUGUCCCCACUGUGGAACAGGAGCAGGUUGUAAAGAUGGAUUGAUUGGGAGUUCCUGUGAGUCGGCAUGGAGACGUCGCCAAGAUAUGAAAGCCAAAUGCAGAGAAAUGUCCAUAAUAUGCUACCAUCUGUGCAAAAAUGAGAGGCAUGAAAAUUCUCAGGAUAAAUAAAAACUGGAGAACAGGGCGUGUGGGGCGAGAGCGUCCUUUCCACUGUACUUCUUUUUCCUUUUUGGUGUUUUGGUGUUUACCUAUUGAGAAAAUCCCCUGAAGACCUAUCGCCAGCCGCUGGAAAUCAGGACAGCCAUGGAAAUAAGCGGCUCCUCCUCUUCUGACACCUGGGGCAUCUGGCAGCCCUGGGCUCAUGUGGCAGCAAGGAGCUGGAGCCUCUGAGGGGCUGAGACCCUGAGAGCCAGAGACCCAGGGCUUGGGGACUUCCAAGGAUAUGGGGUGAGGAGAUGCCAGCGGGUGGCAUGUCCAUGGCGGGGGAUGGCAGCUGCACUGCAGCUCCAGCCAUUGGCAGUCUAGGCCACCUCUGUGCCCCAGCUCCCAGAUCCCCAGGGGUAGGUGGGUCCCAUCAUAGAGGUGCCUGCUGUCAAGGCUCUUGCUCUGAGGGAUGGGAAACAAACCAGACCUACAGGAGGGCUCCACAGCAACAGCCCUCAAGACCCGGAGGCAAACCACACAGCCGCAGAGGCAGCAACCCAGAAAAGGACCACACACCUGACCAAGCAGAUUUCUCCCAGGAAUGCAAGGUUGGCUGGUUUAACAUUUGAAAAAUUAGUAUAACAGACAAUGUUAAUAAAGGACAGAGCCCUUGAUCAUCUCACUGGAUGAGCAUAAAAGCUGACCAGGAUCUGGUCUCUAGUCCUGAGAAAGCUCUCCUGCUUGGGGUGAAACGGGCUCAGGGAAAGGGGUUACGGUCUGGGCAGACACCUUUCCCCGUUCUGUUACAGGGUUCCACAGACCCCUGGACAUGUUUUGUGGGCCCACGCAGCUCCAGGCCUCUCCCUACCCAUCUGCAGCAGCAGCCCUUGGCCUGGUCAGGCACGCAGGCAGCCUGGGCUGGGGGACCUCAGGGAGUUUUGAUUGCAGGCAGCUGUCACAGAACCUCCCUGGGAAAGCACUGAGAGUUGG